rnacentral:rRNA from 1 species
AUUGAACGCUGGCGGCAGGCUUAACACAUGCAAGUCGAGCGGGGAAAGGUAGCUUGCUACCUGACCUAGCGGCGGACGGGUGAGUAAUGCUUAGGAAUCUGCCUAUUAGUGGGGGACAACAUCUCGAAAGGGAUGCUAAUACCGCAUACGUCCUACGGGAGAAAGCAGGGGACCUUCGGGCCUUGCGCUAAUAGAUGAGCCUAAGUCGGAUUAGCUAGUUGGUGGGGUAAAGGCCUACCAAGGCGACGAUCUGUAGCGGGUCUGAGAGGAUGAUCCGCCACACUGGGACUGAGACACGGCCCAGACUCCUACGGGAGGCAGCAGUGGGGAAUAUUGGACAAUGGGGGGAACCCUGAUCCAGCCAUGCCGCGUGGGUGAAGAAGGCCUUUUGGUUGUAAAGCACUUUAAGCGAGGAGGAGGCUACCGAGAUUAAUACUCUUGGAUAGUGGACGUUACUCGCAGAAUAAGCACCGGCUAACUCUGUG